rnacentral:rRNA from 1 species
UACGGGGGGAGCAAGCGUUGUUCGGAUUUACUGGGCGUAAAGGGCGCGUAGGCGGUCGUGACGAGUCACUUGUGAAAUCUCCGGGCUUAACUCGGAACGGUCAAGUGAUACUGUCGGACUAGAGUACAGAAGGGGCAACUGGAAUUCCUGGUGUAGCGGUGAAAUGCGCAGAUAUCAGGAGGAACACCGGUGGCGAAGGCGGGUCUCUGGGCUGACACUGACGCUCAUGCACGAAAGCGUGGGGAGCAAACAGG